rnacentral:rRNA from 1 species
GACGAACGCUGGCGGCGUGCUUAACACAUGCAAGUCGAACGAAGUGGCGCACGGGUGAGUAACGCGUAAUCAACCUGCCCUUCAGCGGGGGACAACCGUUGGAAACGACUGCUAAUUCCGCAUACUGCAGGCGGGGUUUGUGUCUGAUUAGCUAUUUGGAGGGGUAACGGCCCACAAAGGCGAUGAUCAGGCGCCGGUCUGAGAGGAUGAACGGCCACAUUGGGACUGAGACACGGCCCAGACUCCUACGGGAGGCAGCAGUGGGGAAUCUUCCGCAAUGGACGAAAGUCUGACGGAGCAACGCCGCGUGAGUGAUGACGGCCGUCGGGUUGUAAAGAUCUGUUAAUCGGGACGCGGUACCGGAAUAGAAAGCCACGGCUAACUACGUGCCAGCAGCCGCGGUAAUAC